rnacentral:tRNA from 2 species
AAAGGUUUAGUUAAUUAAAUAACAUUAAUUUGUCAAGUUAAAAUUAUCAGCCGAUAUCCUUUA